CGAAGCCCCAGUGAACGGCGGCCGUAACUAUAACGGUCCUAAGGUAGCGAAAUUCCUUGUCAGGUAAGUUCUGACCCGCACGAAAGGCGUAAUGAUUUGGGCACUGUCUCAACAGCCCGCCCGGCGAAAUUGUAGUACUGGUGAAGAUGCCAGUUACCCGCAACUAGACGGAAAGACCCCAUGGAGCUUUACUGCAGUUUAAUACUGGGAAUCGGUAAUGCAUGUACAGGAUAGGUGGGAGACUUGGAAGCAUAGUCGUCAGGCUAUGUGGAGUCACCGGUGGGAUACCACUCUUGUAUUGCUGGUUUCCUAACCUGCGGCCGUGAAUCCGGUCGGGGGACACUGUUAGACGGGCAGUUUGACUGGGGCGGUCGCCUCCAAAAGAGUAACGGAGGCGCUCAAAGGUUCGUUCAGCACGGACGGAAAUCGUGCAUUGAGUGUAAACGCAUAAACGAGCCUAACUGCGAGACCGACGGGUCGAGCAGUAACGAAAGUUGGAGUUAGUGAUCCGGUGGUAUGUGAGUGGAAAUGCCAUCGCUCAACGGAUAAAAGCUACCCUGGGGAUAACAGGCUGAUCUCCCCCAAGCGUCCACAGCGACGGGGAGGUUUGGCACCUCGAUGUCGGCUCGUCGCAUCCUGGGGCUGUAUUCGGUCCCAAGGGUUUGGCUGUUCGCCAAUUAAAGCGGCACGCGAGCUGGGUUCAGAACGUCGUGAGACAGUUCGGUCCCUAUCUGUUGCGGGCGUAAGAGAUUUGAAGGGAGCUGUCCUUAGUACGAGAGGACCGGGAUGGACGUACCUCUGGUGCACCAGUUGUCCUGCCAAGGGCAUAGCUGGGUAGCUAUGUACGGACGAGAUAAACGCUGAAAGCAUCUAAGCGUGAAACUCCCCCUAAGAUGAGAUCUCUCAUCCUUUAUGGAGUAAGGGCCCAGAAAGACGAUCUGGUUGAUAGGCCGGAGGUGGAAGUACAGUAAUGUAUGCAGCUGACCGGUACUAAUAGCCCGAGGGCUUGACCU
rnacentral:rRNA from 1 species